GCUGUUGUCCUUCACAGGCUGGUCAACAGCCACCCAGAUAAGAGAAUUUUCUUCAUAUUUAACUGGCAUGAUCUUGCCUUCCUGUAAAAGUGAAAUGCAUUUGAACAAAGAAGAUGGUGGAUCAUGCUACAUAACAAGUCAGGUUGCUAAAAGCAUUAUUUUGUUUUAUGAAAACAUAGAGACAGUUCCAUCCAUGUGUCUGCACACACCAUGCAUGCACACUUUAAGGCUCCAGCCUCUUUGUAGCCCUCCCAGUAUUCAGCACACCUCCCCAUUGCCCUGCUUCUAGAUAGCUGUAAUGUGUGAACAGAAGUACUUUGAGUUGAAGUGAAAAUUACUUGAUACCAACUUUGAGAUUUAGGUUAAUCUGAUGUUUUCUAUCAAAGAUGUUUUUGAGGAAAGGCAAUUGAACAGACCCUGAAAUCCUAUAAAGGAUAGAGGAACCCUUUAUUUGAAGUGAAAAUCUUUAGGGGUUUUGUUCUGCAGCGUCCAAACAACAAUGGAAAAAGCAAAUGAUUGGUUCUUUAAUGUGUUCAGUUCAAAGUAUUAUUUAACAUAAACCAUUUCCCAGCUAUAACAAAACACAUUUCAGAAGUUCCUCACAUCAGGUAUACCACUGAGAUUUCAAAGCUAAACCCUGGAUUUUCUUCCACAGCAAGAUGCCAAGAAUGGUUUGAUAACCCAGGAGACAAAUUUAUUUUUGUCAGGUCAUUCCUUUCAUGCAUUUAUUAGUUUGCAAUGGGUUGGAGAAAUUAAAAUGUUUUCUCCUCACUUUAGCUGAAAGCAACACUUGAUUUGUGUUUUCUCCCUCAGGCAUAUGGCUGCAUUAAGCAACUUAAAGUUAUUGGAGGAAGGUAACACUCAGAAGCUCAGAUGAACUGCCACCUUAUCCAUGCAGCCUUUUCUGAACCCCUGGCCUAGGACAGAAGUAUGGUUUCCUUCUCAGAAGAGGACCCCCAACAGUGACUGUAGAGGUCUGCUUUGACCACCAAAGUUGCCUUGAGAACAUAGCUGACCAAACCAGGUUUGGUUGUAUUUUCCUAUAAUCUCAGCACUUGGAAGGUGAAAGCAGAAAAAUCAAAGGUACAAGGUUAUCCUUGGUUAUAUAGUAUGUAGGCCAGCUUGAAAUAUAUGAGACCCUGUCUCAACAAGCAGUCAAAUAAAACCAUCCUAAGAGUUCUUAUUGCAUUGAUGAUGUGGAGCCCGGUCACUGGUAUUCUUAAAAGUACCCAAGUAUCGAUGAUGGACAGCCAGAAUUGGGGCCCGCCAGCUUAGGGAACUUUUUCAGAGUAACUAGGUGUUUAAAUGAUUGCAAUAGUCUUUAGAACUAAAUUUCUUCUGUACCAGAGGCUCACAAACAUUUGCUUGCGUCAGAGCCCCUGGGAAGGCUUAUUAAAUAAAAUGCAGCGGUCUGGGUCCCAAGCCCAGAGUGGGGAUUUCUGAUUAAGUAGGCCUUCAGUUUGUAUGUUUGGCAAGCUCUUAGAACCUCAGAAAUACAGUUUGAGAACCACUGCUAUCUGCUAUGCUGCCUUCCAAAGCUCUGCUGCUUUUCUGCAUAUACACCUUGGGCUUGUAGCUUGAAAAUCAAGGGAGGGAAGUAAGCUCACUGCCUCCCUAUAUGAUAUGUUUUCUAACUUCAAACACUCUUACCCUCUGAGCAUGAAAUGUAUUGGGAAGAAAUACCACACAUUGUUCCAGUAUCCCUGAAGGAGAGCACCAAUUCUGCUGAAGAAUCAACAGUACUGAAAGUGGAUCUAGAAUUGAGUUCUGACAAGCCACACACUGCAGCGAGAGAAGACAUCCCAUGGGGAUGGGACCAGUGGGAACAAAUUCACAUUUAACCACUAUAUCUAGCUGCAAAUCUUCAUCAAGUAGCCAUAGAUUGAGAUUAAAUAGAUUGAGAAGCAGAAGAAAGCUAAGCAAACCUCCUACUUUUGCAAAUAAACAAGGCCUUAGGAGCUAGUGAUAGUGAAGAAACCUAACAAUGGCAGUGAAUAAAGACUGAAAAAAGAAACCUAACAUUCAUUUACCAAAAGAACCAGAUGACCUCACCUUAGCUGCAUUUCUUCCUAGGGCAUCUCAUCUGUUUCUGUGACUCCUAGAGGGUCUCAAGGAGGGAAGGGCGUUCAGUCCUCAAGAGGCAUUUUAGAAAUCUUUGGAGGAGUCUAGUUGUUAGAAAGAUUGGAGAAUUCUGGCCUUACUGAUUCUCCCAGAGCCUGGAGUAUUCCUGGAGUGCCAACUGUCCUGGGUUCCUGAGAAAAAGCUGUUUGUAGGCAUGUGUCUGGAACACAGUUCUAUUUCCAUUUUAUAUAUAAGCAUAGAGUGACUGGUCAUAGCUUAAUGAAUAGUGAAUUUCCUAUAAACAUAAUUACUUUGAAAAGAGAAAGAAAUAGGUUUUUGUUUUGUUUUUGAGACUCUCACUACAUAGCUCAAGCUGGUGUCACAAUCUUCCCAAGUGCCAGGAUGGCAGGCAUACACAGCCAUGCCUAUUAGGAAGUCACUACUUCUAUCUGCUGUUUGAGAAAAUUACGUAACAUUAAGUGCCAAAGCAGAUUUGUGACUGUCUGCAUUGUAGGUUAUGGUAUUGGCAGUCCUUGAACUACCAUUGCAUACACUUGACUUUAUUAAUGCUGACUGUCAAUGCAUCAGGCUGAGCAUAUGAAAUCCAUAUUUCACUAUAAAUUACCUUCAUUUUCUUGCUCCUUUACAUUACAGUUGAGGGUUAUAUUGAUUUUUGAAAUCAAUAACCUCCUACCUUCUAGGUAGCUUAUGCUGUCUUGUUUUUCCCUCUAGCUUUUUAAAUUACAGAUUUCAAAUAUCCACAUAUUAAAAGAAUUGUAUUGUGAACAACCAUAUAUUCACCAACACUGCCUAUCUUUUAAUUUCUCAUUAUGGGUUUUGUUAUUGAAAUGUGGUUUUAGGGUGGGGGGGCUCGCUUUAAAUCAAUAGCAUGGAUGCUUGCAAAGUUACAAUCUUUUAGAAUAUAAAUCACACACUAUGACUAAACUCAGUUUUGUUUUUUAACUCUUGGGGAACAAAGUUUGGAGCACUUGUUUUCAGUGCUUCUCAAGGGGUUCUUCUCUGUUGGGCUGUGUUAAAAUAUUGGGGUCUUGGAUACUCAUCGCUGUUCGAAACCUGUCACAAUCUGGCCUCAUCUGCAUCUCCAUUGGUCUCCCUUUCCGUCUUUGACCACACUAACUAUGUUGGCAGAAGGAGUGCACAUUUCUGUACGUUAUCAUCCCCAGGCAUGUUCCAUGCCCGGCCUCUACCUCUCCCCGUUAAAACCCAAACCAUUUCUCAAAGUAUUGGGGAUAGAACUAAGUGGUCGAAUGCUAGCCUCGCAGAAGAAAGGGCCUUGGUUCAGUUUCCAGCACCACAAAUCAUUCUUCAGGAUUUGAUUCAAUUGUCAUCACCUCUGCCAAACCUGCUCAAAGACUCUAAUUGGCAGUGAUGCCUCUGUGUGUGGAGAACACUGCCCAUAGCUCAUCAUGGCACAUUCCCUGUGCUGAUCUGAAGUCAUUUCUGUGUGUAUGUCUCUCUCCUAGACUGAACCUUGAAGGAUGUGUCAGCCAUUUUCAUUCCUUGUGCUUAGCACCAUCGUGCAUACAGUGAACCUUAAUCAACAUUUCCUGCAUUUGACUGCUGGUUUAAAAUAAAGGAGAAAGUAAUAGCAGAUGAUCACAGAGGCUGAUUCAUGUCUUUUCAAAAGUCUAGGCUUGUUUAAACUCAUAACAGGUACUAUCCAUCAAAAAAAUGUUCUACUCACCAGUUCUGACUUAGAGAAAUGUAGAAGCUAUCAAAGAGAAUUGAUCAGUUUAUAAAAUAUUUGUGGCCCUGUUGGUCUAUGAGAACAAAACACAAUACCAUUAUUAGAAAGAACCAAAGGAUUAUAAAACAGAUAUAUAGGUCUGGGAUUAAAAUAUUUUAAAGGAUAUUCUUGAUACAUGAACAUCUCAAAAGAGAUGGAUCUUUUAUAAUUCAUCCUUACAACCCCCUUUGCAUAUUUUGAUAUUGUGGUACAUCAUAGGUAUUCCAUUUUGUUCUGGAUUGAAUGAUAUAUAGAGAGAGGAGCCACAUUUUAUUAGUUUAUAUUGAGCAGCACAGAGAAAAAAACGUUUUUGCCCUGUCCCAGAUUUUGCAGUAAAUGCGUUUUAAUAGGUUCAUAGAAAUUAUACUUGUGCACAGACCAGAACCAUUUGCAAAGCUAUGACCAAAGAAAGUGCAGCUGGGCACAUUCAGAGCUCCAGAGCCUGUCCCCAGGGCAGGGACCUCUAUGAACACAGCCAGUCCUUGUCAGCUGCAAACAAUGCGCAGCCUCGUGGAGCUCUAAUGUCAGCAUCUGUUGGGAAUUCAAAAGGACUUAUGAAGUGAGUUUUGGUUUCCACAAGAGGAAGAGUGCUUUCGUUUAAAUGAAAAGCUUCUUUAGUUUUUCUCAUCAAUCAGAAGAAGAUGGAUUGAUGAGAUGUUUGUAGACCCAUAAACUAUGAGAAGAGACAUUAUUUUCAAGAGCCCUUCUUCAUUAUGAAGUUUCACCUACUUCGUCUACAGAUUUAACAGGAGAACCAAAAUAGUGAUGCUUCUUCCUCAUCACAGAACAUGAAGGAGAAUAAGAUUUUUCUGUCAUCCAAUUGGAAAUUAAGCCUGAAGUGACACUUUGAUUAGCAGAUGUACACUGAAGCAUCAGUGAAUAGUUUAAUGUCUCAAAUUGCCUGGAAAUUAAAUUUUGGUAAAACAAAACAGUCUCCCUUUCAAAGGAGACUCGAAUGUUUUAUUUGUAAUAGACCAUGGCCAGAAAACCUGGCUAUAACAGGGAAUCCAUCCGUUCUUAUUUUCUGGAUUAAAUGUGAAAUCAGAAAAAUAAAAAAAAAAAAUGUAAGUAGCACCUAUCUGUUGAUGGACUAUCCAGUCAUUAAAAUGCCUUUCAAUUCUCUAGAAGUUUAAAGUUUUGCCCUUGCUCUAUUCUAGGACAGUUUGAAUAUUUUAUUUGUCAUGUUACAGAAAAUUACUUGGUACAACAUAGUUCUAGUAAAUUUUUAAGGAUGUGUAAUUCAAGAAGAACCUGCUUUUUUCAGUAGCAUUAUGUUUCUCUCUCUCUCUCUCUCUCUCGCUCUCUCCCUUCUGAGACCCUGA